UUGAUAUUCAGAGCACAUCGCCUGAUCUAUGUGUAGUAUGCUCCUAUUUACUAAAGUUGUAAGAUUGCGAUUCUACACCAGUCUCUCUCCAGUGAGCUUUGGACGGAAAGCGAAUAAAGAUGACAAUUGUAGCGAAAACUGGUCGACAAUACAGCUACAUGGCAAGGAAUUUUCUUACAAAAGGAAUGCAUCUGAAAAUAAUCACUAAUGGAUCUAUCACCACCACCACCGCAAACAACAACAACAACAACAGUGACAAUUCCUUUUGCAGUUUAAUAUUUCCCAGAUCUAACUAACGGAUAGGAACUGAAGUCAAAGCUGGAAACACACUAUUUCUCUACCACGUCCACUUACAAGGCUUGGUUGGCUUCAGGCUAUAGUAGAAGACACUUGUUCAAGGUGCCACACAGUGAUACUGAACCUAGAACUGCACAUAUAUAUGGUUGAAAAGUAACAAGUCAUAUUGGACUCACAAACACAGCAGCAGCAGCCACAGCAGAAUAAUUGAUAAAGUACUGAAUGGUUUCCAUCAAGGUGGGCCAACAUGGUGUAUCUCCAGGAGAAUACUGUUACUGUGAGAUCUCUCACCAACUUAUCCUAGAGCCUAUAAAGUGUCUAGCUGUAGUGUGUGAUCAUGUGGAAGGCUGGCAGGAGCUUGGAUAAAAGAAAGGUUAAUUACUGGCAUGGAAAUCUGACAGAAAAGACUGCUUCUCACAUCAUUGCAGGAGUUAGCCAGUAGCAACAGAACCGUGAAAACUGUUGCAAACUCUACUACACUGAAC